rnacentral:rRNA from 2 species
GGACUACCCGGGUAUCUAAUCCUGUUUGCUCCCCACGCUUUCGUGCCUCAGUGUCAGUACUAGGCCAGGUAGCCGCCUUCGCCACCGAUGUUCCUUCCGAUAUCUACGCAUUUCACCGCUACACCGGAAAUUCCACUACCCUCUCCCAUACUCAAGUCAACCAGUAUCAUCCGUCCUUCCCAGGUUGAGCCCAGGGAUUUCACAAAUAACUUAAUCAACCACCUACGCACCCUUUACGCCCAGUAAUUCCGAUUAACGCUCGCACCCUCCGUAUUACCGCGGCUGCUGGCAC